rnacentral:rRNA from 1 species
CUUGAACGCUGGCGGCAUGCCUUACACAUGCAAGUCGAACGGCAGCAUGAUCUAGCUUGCUAGAUUGAUGGCGAGUGGCGAACGGGUGAGUAAUACAUCGGAACGUGCCCUGUAGUGGGGGAUAACUAGUCGAAAGAUUAGCUAAUACCGCAUACGACCUGAGGGUGAAAGUGGGGGACCGCAAGGCCUCAUGCUAUAGGAGCGGCCGAUGUCUGAUUAGCUAGUUGGUGAGGUAAAGGCUAACCAAGGCGACGAUCAGUAGCUGGUCUGAGAGGACGAUCAGCCACACUGGGACUGAGACACGGCCCAGAACCCUACGGGAAGCAGCAGUGGGGAAUUUUGGACAAUGGGGGCAACCCUGAUCCAGCAAUGCCGCGUGUGUGAAGAAGGCCUUCGGGUUGUAAAGCACUUUUGUCCGGAAAGAAAUCGCACUUACUAAUAUUAGGUGUGGAUGACGGUACCGGAAGAAUAAGGACCGGCUAACUACGUGCCAGCAGCCGCCGUAAUAC